rnacentral:rRNA from 1 species
GACGAACGCUGGCGGCGUGCUUAACACAUGCAAGUCGAACGGUGAAAGCGGAGCUUGCUCCGCUGGAUCUGUGGCGAACGGGUGAGUAACACGUGGGCAACCUGCCCCUCACUUCGGGAUAACUCCGGGAAACCGGGGCUAAUACCGGAUAUGACCUCCUUGGGCAUCCUUGGAGGUGGAAAGUUUUUAGGUGAGGGAUGGGCCCGCGGCCGAUCAGCUUGUUGGUGAGGUAGUGGCUCACCAAGGCGACGAAGGGUAGCCGGCCUGAGAGGGCGACCGGCCACACUGGGACUUAGACACAGCCAAGAAUCCGUGUGGAGGCGGCAGGGGGGAAGAGCGGGCAAUGGGCGAAAGCCUGACGCAGCAACGCCGCGUGCGGGAUGACGGCCUUCGGGUUGUAAACCGCUUUCAGCAGGGAAGAAGCCGCAAGGUGACGGUACCUGCAGAAGAAGCACCGGCUAACUACGUGCCAGCAGCCGCCGUAA